rnacentral:rRNA from 1 species
AACGAACGCUGGCGGCAUGCCUAACACAUGCAAGUCGAACGCGCCCUUCGGGUCUAGUGGCGCACGGGUGCGUAACGCGUGUGAACCUGCCCUUAGGUUCGGAAUAACUCCCCGAAAGGGGUGCUAAUACCGGAUAAUGUCUUCGGACCAAAGAUUUAUCGCCUUUGGAUGUGGCCACGUUGGAUUAGCUAGUUGGUAGGGUAAACGCCUACCAAGGCGAAGAGCCAUAGCUGGUCUGUGAGGAUGAUCAGCAACACCGGGACUGAGACACGGACCACAUUCUUAGGGGAGGAAGAAGGGGGGAAUAUGGGACAAUGGGCGAAAGAAUGAGGCAGCAAGGCCGCGAAAGUGAGGAAGGCGUUAGGGUUGUAAAGCUCUGUGAACCGGGAAGAUAAUGACAGUACCGGGAGAAUAAGCGACGGCUAACUACGUG